UUCCAGACUCCUACGGGAGGCAGCAGUGGGGAAUAUUGCACAAUGGGGGAAACCCUGAUGCAGCGACGCCGCGUGAGCGAUGAAGUAUUUCGGUAUGUAAAGCUCUAUCAGCAGGGAAGAAAAUGACGGUACCUGACUAAGAAGCCCCGGCUAACUACGUGCCAGCAGCCGCGGUAAUACGUAGGGGGCAAGCGUUAUCCGGAUUUACUGGGUGUAAAGGGAGCGUAGACGGCGGUGCAAGCCAGAUGUGAAAGCCCGGGGCCCAACCCCGGGACUGCUCUGGAAACUGUACGGCUAGAGUACGGGAGGGGCAGGCGGAAUUCCUAGUGUAGCGGUGAAAUGCGUAGAUAUUAGGAGGAACACCGGCGGCGAAGGCGGCCUGCUGGACCGAAACUGACGUUGAGGCUCGAAAGCGUGGGGAGCAAACAGGAUUAGAUACCCGUGUAA
rnacentral:rRNA from 1 species